GAUGAACGCUGGCGGCGUGCCUAAUACAUGCAAGUCGAGCGAACAGACGAGGAGCUUGCUCCUCUGACGUUAGCGGCGGACGGGUGGGUAACACGUGGAUAACCUACCUAUAAGACUGGGAUAACUUCGGGAAACCGGAGCUAAUACCGGAUAAUAUAUUGAACCGCAUGGUUCAAUAGUGAAAGACGGUUUUGCUGUCACUUAUAGAUGGAUCCGCGCCGCAUUAGCUAGUUGGUAAGGUAACGGCUUACCAAGGCAACGAUGCGUAGCCGACCUGAGAGGGUGAUCGGCCACACUGGAACUGAGACACGGUCAAGACUCCUACGGGAGGCAGCAGUAGGGAAUCUUCCGCAAUGGGCGAAAGCCUGACGGAGCAACGCCGCGUGAGUGAUGAAGGUCUUCGGGUCGUAAAACUCUGUUAUUAGGGAAGAACAAAUGUGUAAGUAACUAUGCACGUCUUGACGGUACCUAAUCAGAAAGCCACGGCUAACUACGUG
rnacentral:rRNA from 1 species